rnacentral:rRNA from 1 species
GACGAACGCUGGCGGCGUGCUUAACACAUGCAAGUCGAACGGAAAGGCCCUGCUUUUGUGGGGUGCUCGAGUGGCGAACGGGUGAGUAACACGUGAGUAACCUGCCCUUGACUUUGGGAUAACUUCAGGAAACUGGGGCUAAUACCGGAUAGGAGCUCCUGCUGCAUGGUGGGGGUUGGAAAGUUUCGGCGGUUGGGGAUGGACUCGCGGCUUAUCAGCUUGUUGGUGGGGUAGUGGCUUACCAAGGCUUUGACGGGUAGCCGGCCUGAGAGGGUGACCGGCCACAUUGGGACUGAGAUACGGCCCAGACUCCUACGGGAGGCAGCAGUGGGGAAUAUUGCACAAUGGGCGGAAGCCUGAUGCAGCAACGUCGCGUGCGGGAUGACGGCCUUCGGGUUGUAAACCGCUUUCGCCUGUGACGAAGCGUGAGUGACGGUAAUGGGGAAAGAAGCACCGGCUAACUACGU